GCCUUCGUGGUGUAGUGGUCAGCAAGCUUGACGCGUAACUGAGAGGUCCGUGGUUCGAUUCCCGGCGAAGGCG
rfam:Stegodyphus mimosarum contig65805, whole genome shotgun sequence.